rnacentral:rRNA from 1 species
UACGUAGGGCGCAAGCGUUGUCCGGAAUUAUUGGGCGUAAAGAGCUCGUAGGCGGUUUGUCGCGUCUGCUGUGAAAACUCGAGGCUCAACCUCGGGCUUGCAGUGGGUACGGGCAGACUAGAGUGCGGUAGGGGUGACUGGAAUUCCUGGUGUAGCGGUGGAAUGCGCAGAUAUCAGGAGGAACACCGAUGGCGAAGGCAGGUCACUGGGCCGCAACUGACGCUGGAGGAGCGAAAAGCAUGGGGAGCGAACAGG